AGGAAAAGAAACUAACAAGGAUUCCCCUAGUAACGGCGAGUGAAGCGGGAAGAGCUCAAAUUUGAAAUCUUAAAGGGUUUCCCUUUACGAAUUGUAGUUUAAAGAAGUGUUUUCUGUUGAGGUUUUGGUAAAAGUUCUUUGGAAUAGGACAUCAUAGAGGGUGAGAAUCCCGUAUUUGACCUUUACUUUCAACUUUGUGAUACACUUUCAAAGAGUCGGAUUGUUUGGGAAUGCAGUCCAAAAUGGGUGGUAAAUUUCAUCUAAAGCUAAAUAUUGGCGAGAGACCGAUAGCGAACAAGUACCGUGAGGGAAAGAUGAAAAGAACUUUGAAAAGAGAGUUAAACAGUACGUGAAAUUGUCAAAAGGGAAGCGUUUGACACCAGUGUUGUUUUUCUGAAAAUCAAUUAAAGAACUGUUUAUGCUAAGUUGUUUAGACUUUAUCAGCUAACUGUUUAGUUUUGAGCUUUUCUUUAAUGCACUUUUCAGUUAACAAGUCAACAUCAAUUUCUUUUGCUGUAAAAAAGCUUGAGGAAGGUGGCUUGAGAUUCGUCUUAAGUGUUUAUAGCCUCUUGCCUAUGCAGUCGGAGAGAUUGAGGUCUGCAGCGUAGAUCCUUCGGGGCUAAAUGCAUUUGUGCUAAGUUAUAGCAUUUUAUAGACAACUUGUUGACUAUGAUUUGUCUUGUAGCUUACUCGCUUA
rnacentral:rRNA from 1 species